GGGUGAGAAAGCCCCACUCACUCUGCAGCAGAAAUUAAGGGUUGAUCCGGAAAUGAGGCGACAGUCGGAACUGGCGAAUUGGACUGGACCAGGGGAAGCCCCGGCGCGCUGCAGCUCCUACAAGUGCCUUUCCCCUCCUUUUAUCUUCCAUGAGGAUGAACUUUGCAGAAUUCAAAAGCUUGAACGCGAGUUUGUGACAUUUGAACAGAUCCGAGAAAAUGAUAUUCCUACAACAGGAUUUUAAUCCCUUCUUCUGUAUGCAGAACAGGGCUGCAUUUCCAUAUUGAAGACGGGGAAUAAAACCGCCCCAGCCCUGCACUCAUUUGUGAAUAGAGCCUUAUUCAAACGUCGCCCUAAACACCCUAGCUACUGUAUUAGUGGACAAGUCGACCCUCUACUAGUUGAACGAGAGAACGCUUCCUAUUUGGGGCCGUCACUGUCGCUGUCCCUUCAGCACCACGCAGAAAGGGAAAACGCUUCUUUCGGAAUGAACAUUUCUGCCUGGGCAACUUCCAAACGCUAACACUGUUAUGGACUUGACAAAUGCUUCAACCCCAUUUGGUUAGAUAGUGGAUCCUAGACGUUUCUAUCAAGAUCAACUUCCUUACUCUCUACAUUUGUGAAACUUUCUCUUUGCCACUGCUCCCCUCAAAAAAUUUCUUCAACCAGCACUUCAAAGAAACCUAUAAAUGCCUCCCUCUUGUGUAUGGAAAAGGCUAUUAGAUUUGGCACUUGGAUAGCAUGUUCGCUGUUCCACUCGAGUUUCUAUUGGACUUUUCAAUGCUCAGUUGAUGCUAUUCCAUAACAGAGCAAAUGAAUAUACAUAGCGUUACUUUGUAUUAUUGUGCUACCCUACUGAUUAUAAUUAUGUUUAUGAAAGGAGCUGUUUUGAAACAUCUUUAUUUACUGCAUCUGACUGAUACAAGGGUGAGCUGUUUGUUCCUUUGAAAUGCUUUAUGUGCCUGAAUUAUUUUAGCAGGAUUUGAGAGUGAAUAGCUCAAUACAAAAUGUGCUUCAAUUAAUAAUGGGUGUUUUUGUAACUCAUGUAUUACUUCAUUCCUGACAGUUUUACGGAAUGGGGAAAAACAGCGCACAGUGAUUGCGUCUCUGGGAAAGAAGCUAGUUCCCUCAAACUGAGUUCCCUCUCGCUUUAACAAGAUUUAUAAGGCGAAAAUAGGACAAGAACAUAGGAGCCUUAAUCAAUCACCAUUGAUCCAAUAACCUAUGUCAGUGAUGGCAAACCUUUUAGAGACCAAGUGCCCAAACUGCAACCCAAAACCCACUUAUUUAUUGCAAAGUGCCAGGGCUGCAUC